GAUUCUCUCAUGCAGUUGUAUGCAGCUGCUGCAUUUUGGCUUUAAUAGGUGAGACAAGAAUAUGUCUCUUCCCGCCCCCGUGAAAUAUAGUUAUUACUUAUGACUGUUUAGCUAGCUCUAUGCUCUUAGAUUUUUUAGGCAAUUUAAUUCCCCUUCCAUAGAGUGUCAGAGCACUGAACAAUAGGCACUGAGUUUUAUUGGGCAGCUUCAUUUCUACAAUGCAGCAUCUCAGUUAAAUCAAGUACCAAUCAUCCAGUUAAUUCUUGUCAAUUGGGACUUAUGAAUUAUGAUAGUUUUAAAUCAUAAGGUAAGACCUAUUCUCAUUUCCAAGACUGGUGUAUUUGUACAGACAAACAUAAGUUUAGUCACAUUUAAUGUUUCAUGAACACGAAGACUUGUGUCGAUUUCAUGUACAACUCUGUUUGGCAUGCCAUUUUCCCUCUGUCGAUUUUGGGAACCAGAAAGCAAAUUGUUCUGCUACUUGCAUAGUUAGUAGAUACUAGAGAACAAUUGUUUAGUUUGCCUUAUGGCCGUCUGGGGCAGCUGCUCAAGCAAUUCCUGAGGAUCACUAUUUUCCUCUUCAAUUCUAAUAAUAUGUGUAUUUCUGCAAUUUGUUUAAUUUUUCUUUAUUUUAGUACUGCAGUUUUAGGGCAUGUUUUUAUUUUUGAACAUUGUCAUUCUAGAUAGUAAAUUUGCUUCUUGGUGGAUUAUUUAUUGGUGAGCGCUAGGGGUACAUUUUAGAUUGGAUUCUUUGUCAUUCCACAGUUUAGCUUAAGCGUGCUGACAAUUCUCAGUUAAGUUGUCAUAACAUUCAAGGUUCAGCUGACAUGCACACUACAACAUAUAUUUAGCUUAAAUUACCCCCUAUUUGUUGCUAUCAUGGGCUCAUGUGCACAACCACCACAGUACACAUUAUAUAAAUGAUGGUCAGUAUACUUGCUUUGUCUACAGCUGAUCUGAAUUUGUCUGCCUUUUAGUAUGUGUCUGUAAAGUUUUUGUUUCAUGUUUGUUUUUCUGCUUACCAGGAAGGGGAAGAUACAAUGUUUGCUUCCUUAUGAUUGUUGCCCAAAUUUCUCUAUUGUAAACACUACCCAACAGAAGGUUGGGUGUGCAGCGGCGCAAGACCUGCCUGCGGGUCGAUGUCCAUGCCGGAGUUGGACACGGCGCGCUGCGCACGUUGCACGGAGCGUGGAGGGCGGGCGGAUGUGUCCACGGCGGUGGGUUCCCGCAGGGGAACGCCGUAGGUGGCCGUGGGGUCUGGCUUGUAGGCCUUCGACGACCGGGACAAGCAGGAGGCCGCCUAGCUGUGGCCGUGCUGGGGGCCUGGGUUGCUGGCAGAACUGGCGUGGGUGGUCGCGAGGGCCGCCCUUGAUUUAGAGGACGAAGAGGCGUUCCUCUGGCUGCCGCCCGCGCCGACAUCCAUCUCCCGACGUGCACCGGCCGCCGAUUGAAGCGAUGGCCUUGAGACAACGGAACGGGUGCAUGCGAAUUGAGCUGAAUUGAGCGUAAACGGAGUGUACCGGACUCUUGGGCCAAAUUGAAUGGGCUGGACGAAAAAAACACUAGAAAUUUUACCUCUUUAUUAUUAGGUGUGUACAUAUAUACAUAGACAUAUUUGAAUAUGAUUUAGAAGAGCAGACCAAAAAAUGUCCAGACAAAAAAAAAGCUAAAAUUUUGCCUCUUUAUA